rnacentral:pre_miRNA from 1 species
AUUUUCCGCUGGAUUUAGCGGGGAAAUUUUCCCGCUGGAUUUAGCGGGGAAAUUUUUCUGCUAGAUUCAGCGGGGAAA